rnacentral:rRNA from 1 species
UACGGAAGGCAGCAGUGGGGAAUAUUGCACAAUGGGCGCAAGCCUGAUGCAGCCAUGCCGCGUGUAUGAAGAAGGCCUUCGGGUUGUAAAGUACUUUCAGUCGUGAGGAAGGUGUUAAGGUUAAUAACCUUAGCAAUUGACGUUAGCGACAGAAGAAGCACCGGCUAACUCCGUGCCAGCAGCCGCGGUAAUACGGAGGGUGCUAGCGUUAAUCAGAAUUACUGGGCGUAAAGAGCACGUAGGUGGUUUUUUUAAGUCAGAUGUGAAAUCCCCGGGCUUAACCUGGGAAUGGCAUUCAAGACUGGUUAGCUAGAGUCUUGUAGAGGGGGUAGAAUUCCAUGUGUAGCGGUGAAAUGCGUAGAGAUGUGGAGGAAUACCGGUGGCGAAGGCGGCCCCUGGGACAAAGACUGACGCUCAUGUGCGAAAGCGUGGGGAGCAAACAGGGAUUAGAUACC